GGCGUAAGAGCUUGUAGGUGGCUUGUCGCGUCUGCCGUGAAAACCCGAGGCUCAACCUCGGGCGUGCGGUGGGUACGGGCAGGCUAGAGUGUGGUAGGGGAGACUGGAACUCCUGGUGUAGCGGUGAAAUGCGCAGAUAUCAGGAAGAACACCGAUGGCGAAGGCAGGUCUCUGGGCCAUUACUGACACUGAGAAGCGAAAGCAUGGGUAGCGAACAGGAUUAGAUACCCUGGUAGUCCAUGCCGUAAACGUUGGGCACUAGGUGUGGGGGACAUUCCACGUUUUCCGCGCCGUAGCUAACGCAUUAAGUGCCCCGCCUGGGGAGUACGGCCGCAAGGCUAAAACUCAAAGGAAUUGACGGGGGCCCGCACAAGCGGCGGAGCAUGCUGAUUAAUUCGAUGCAACGCGAAGAACCUUACCAAGGCUUGACAUGCACUGGACGGCUGCAGAGAUGUGGCUUUCUUUGGACUGGUGCACAGGUGGUGCAUGGUUGUCGUCAGCUCGUGUCGUGAGAUGUUGGGUUAAGUCCCGCAACGAGCGCAACCCUCGUUCUAUGUUGCCAGCACGUGAUGGUGGGGACUCAUAGGAGACUGCCGGGGUCAACUCGGAGGAAGGUGGGGACGACGUCAAAUCAUCAUGCCCCUUAUGUCUUGGGCUUCAAGCAUGCUACAAUGGUCGGUACAAUGGGUUGCGAAACUGUGAGGUGGAGCGAAUCCCAAAAAGCC
rnacentral:rRNA from 1 species